AGUGAACGCUGGCGGUAGGCCUAACACAUGCAAGUCGAACGGCAGCACAGUAAGAGCUUGCUCUUACGGGUGGCGAGUGGCGGACGGGUGAGGAAUACAUCGGAAUCUACUUUUUCGUGGGGGAUAACGUAGGGAAACUUACGCUAAUACCGCAUACGACCUACGGGUGAAAGCAGGGGAUCUUCGCCCCUUGCGCGAUUGAAUGCGCCGAUGUCGGAUUAGCUAGUUGGCGGGGUAAAGGCCCACCAAGGCGACGAUCCGUAGCUGGUCUGCGAGGCUGAUCAGCCACACUGGAACUGAGACACGGUCCAGACUCCUACGGGAGGCAGCAGUGGGGAAUAUUGGACAAUGGGCGCAAGCCUGAUCCAGCCAUACCGCGUGGGUGAAGAAGGCCUUCGGGUUGUAAAGCCCUUUUGUUGGGAAAGAAAAGUAGCAGGUUAAUACCCCGCUGUUCUGACGGUACCCAAAGAAUAAGCACCGGCUAACUUCGUG
rnacentral:rRNA from 1 species